CACACUAUCAUUAACUGAAUCCAUAGGUUAAUGAGGCGAACCGGGGGAACUGAAACAUCUAAGUACCCCGAGGAAAAGAAAUCAACCGAGAUUCCCCCAGUAGCGGCGAGCGAACGGGGAGCAGCCCAGAGCCUGAAUCAGUGUGUGUGUUAGUGGAAGUGUCUGGAAAGGCGCGCGAUACAGGGUGACAGCCCCGUACACAAAAAUGCACAUACUGUGAGCUCGAUGAGUAGGGCGGGACACGUGGUAUCCUGUCUGAAUAUGGGGGGACCAUCCUCCAAGGCUAA
rnacentral:rRNA from 1 species